AGACACUAGGCACAGAACAAAGAGCAAAUGAAACAGGAACUGUGGAAUAACACUGUAUUCCCAAAGAAAACAUAACUGCCAUAGAUCACAGAAUGAAAGCCCCAGAGCACGCAGCAGAGAAUUCCAGCAACUGGAGUCAACAUUUACAGAAAACCCUGUAGGAAGACUGUGGCACUACCAACUGAUCAACAUGUUUACAGAACUCAUUUUAUAUUGCAGCCAGGCUGAGGAGGGCCCAUCACCUGCACAUAAAUAUUUGGACAGUGGCGACAACUUGAAGACAGCUAGCUGCAGAGUGAUAUUCCAGAAUAAGAGUUUUGAAGCUCCAGAUGCUAGGGUAUUGAAAGUAUCUUCUGGAUUGCCAAUUUGCCUAGCUGACCUGGGUAUUAAUGCUGGAUAUAGCAACGUCCUUCUAUGUCCUUCUAAAUUUUCUUCAUGAGUAGUGAUAAGUUAUGCUGAGAAAAAUUCUUGAACCUACAGUUAUACAACAUUGUUCUUGCUGCCUUUCAAAAAUGGACAAUGUCUCCCAUAUGGAAUAUCUACUGAUGAUCUUGCAAGAAGGUGAAUAAAAAAUACAAUGAAGACAUAAAAGGAGUUUCAUUUAAAAAAUCUGGUAAAAUGGAAGUUUGCUUUACACAAACAGUAAAGAAGCCUUGGAAGAUAAUGUUGACUUCCCAUGCUCAAAAGUACUCUGACUCAGGAAGAUAGCUCCAGCCCUUCAAAGGAAGGGCUGCCUGCAAUAAAUGCCCACGGAGACCUCUCAGCAAUUCCAUAAGAUAAGUGAAUUGGCUUAAAUCAAAUGUUUUGCAGUUCCAUUUACAGAGCAUUUACUGGCCAUCAUGUACUACUCAAGUUACUAGAACACUAAGUUGACUCAUGCUUGGAAAUACUGGUUUUAUGUCGCUAUCAGAGUAUUGUCAUAAAUCCAUCCACAAUUACAAAGAGUCCUACUCUGCUGCUGUAGCUACCUUUAACUCCUUGCCCUCAGCAAAUUGUAUGCCUAGGGAGAUGGACUACUUCGGCCUUGAGAAAUUUCCAAUUAGGUCAUUUUGAGAAGCAGUCUGGAUGUGUGGUCUGAAAUAGCAUUUCCAGAGAACUGCUUGCAAAUAAAUGCCACUGAGUUUGUUAGGA
rnacentral:lncRNA from 1 species